CCAACUUAGGGGAGUGGCAUUGAAAAAAAUUAAGGAUUUUCAAAUAUUUCUGCUGUUUCUACUUACAAAUUUCCCUGAGUGUGGCUAUGUUGGACAAUCUGAAGUAUCUUUCGCAAUUCUUCCUCUAAGUAGUCUUCCAAAUUUUGCUCAAUUAUCGGACUCGGUGCCGUCCGUGCCAGUGAUGGUCUGAGAAAGUGUUCCAUGGAGAUUCUCGAAAACUGAACCUCAUCGAUUAGAUUUUCAGAAAGCUAUUGUACAUAUUGUUUGUGCCGUGUGAAAAACUACAAUAUAUAUUUUGUUUUACAAUUGUAUUACAUUAAGUGAGAAAUUAAUAGUCAAGAAUGUAUUGAGACUACCUUAAUAGACCACCUGUACAUACUAAA
rnacentral:sRNA from 1 species